rnacentral:lncRNA from 1 species
CUCCAAGUAUAUAAUUAAGUAAAUAAAUAUGAUAAUUUUUGAAAUUUAGAAAGCCAUAUUUUGGUUGAUAGUCUUUAUACAAAUGGCUAAUUUAAAAAAAUUUUUUUUUGCUUUGUUUAAUAAUCUACCCUCAACAGUCUGAAUCAGGAUUGGAAUAUUUGCAGUGUUCAUAAGGAAUAAGACUUGUAUUUCCCAACAGGACAAUGUAUUGUUACAGCUACUACAAAUUUCCUCGUCAGAGAAUGAAUGAAUCUCAGGAAAAAAGUAAACUUCAAAGUAAGAGAAGAAACAAGGCAGAAGAGGACGAAAUUUCUUCCCAUUGAUGAAACCACUGUAGAGAUUUCAUCAGAUGAAUAUAUUGCAUGAAGGAUGUGUGUGGCCUUUUGUACUACUCAAGAGCAAGAAGGGUGAUGUUUUGACUUAGCAUGCCUGCAUUCAUUCAUUCCGCUGAAAGAAGAACCAUGUGAACUAUACAAGAGAAAAGUGAACGGGAAUGUGCAGUUCAUAAUAAUAACUAAUAUGACAAAUGUUCAUGUGUGAUAAGAUAUUGCCAG